GCGGCAUGGAUUAGGCAUGCAAGUCGAGCGGGAAGGGGUUUGAAGCUUGCUUUAGAACCCGGAAAGCGGCGCAAGGGAGAGUAACGAGUAGUUAUCUACCCCAAGGCCCGGAAUAGCUGCGGGAAACUGCAGGUAAUGCCGGAUAAUAUCCCCGGAUCAAAGGUGUGAUUCCGCCUUGGGAGGAGACUGCUUUGUGACUAGCUAGUUGGUAGGGUAAUGGCCAACCAAGGCUACGAUGCAUCGCGGGCGUGAGAGCGUGGGCCGUCUCACUGGGACUGAAACACUGCCCAGACUCCUACGGGUGGCUGCAGUCGAGAAUCUUCGGCAAUGGGCGAAAGCCUGACCGAGCGAUGCCGCGUGCGGGAUGAAGGCCCUCGGGUUGUAAACCGCUGUCGUAGAGGAGAAAGGUCUGAUGAAGAAUCAGAUUUGAUCUAUUCUAGGAGGAAGUCGGGGCUAAGUUCGUGCCAGCCGCCGCGGUAA
rnacentral:rRNA from 1 species